rnacentral:piRNA from 1 species
AGUGCUUGGCUCUUCUGUUCUGCUA